AGAGUUUGAUCCUGGCUCAGAAUGAACGUUGGCGGCGUGGAUUAGGCAUGCAAGUCGAGCGAGAAGUUUACUUCGGUAAAUGGACAGCGGCGAAAGGGACAGUAAUGUGUAGGUAAAAACCCCCAGAUCUGGGAUAGCUGCGGGAAACUGCAGGUAAUACCGGAUAAUGUCUUCGGACCAAAGGUGUGAUUCCGUCAGGGGAGGGGCCUGCAUCCUAUUAGCUUGUUGGUGAGGUAAUGGCUCACCAAGGCAACGAUGGGUAGCGGGUGUGAGAGCAUGACCCGCGUCAUUGGGACUGAGACACUGCCCAGACAUCUACGGAUGGCUGCAGUCGAGAAUCUUCGGCAAUGGGCGAAAGCCUGACCGAGCGACGCCGCGUGCGGGAUGAAGGCCCUCGGGUUGUAAACCGCUGUCGUUGGGGAGGAAAUGCAAAAGGGUUAUCCCUUCUGUUUGACCGAUCCAAGGAGGAAGUACGGGCUAAGUUCGUGCCAGCAGCCGCGGUAAU
rnacentral:rRNA from 1 species